rnacentral:misc_RNA from 1 species
CCAGGAGAACACGUUAAAUGAAUAAAAUAGGCAGAAUUUCACUACAAAUUGCAAGAGGUUCUCAAAGCUCCCUCAAAAGAGCUCUCAUUUCCUUCCACCAUAGGUCAUUCAAGGAAAGGCCGAAACACCAACAAAGGCAACCCAUCCAACAUUGACGGAGAUUACCCUGUUCAACGGCCAAUGACUUAAUCCUAUUCUAUGACACAUAACACAGUGCUAUAACCACAAUUAAUCAUUUUGAAACAACUGCAGAAUGGUAAUCAAUGAAUUGAUUCCCAUGCUUCUGCUCAUUUCAAAUGGGCAUGCCCUUUGGAACAAUUUGAUCUUUGAUCCACAUGUAGAUGGGAACCAGCACAAAGUACGUGGCUGCUAUGGCCCCGAGAAUGAAGCGCAGAAGGAAAAUAAAAGGAUUUACUGGCUUUCUCACAUCCUCAGCCUUUGGACCAAGCUUCAGGGAAGAAUCUCCAGAAAAUGGCUUAACUCCAGUUACAGAGCAACCCAUAAUCAACCCAUGCCGACGAACACCACGGUACCAUUUUGGGCCAAUUCUUUUCAAUUCGAUACGUAUAAACCCAGCCUUUCUAAACCAUUCAAUGUACUCUUCUUCCUUAGGGAAGAGCAUCCACAUAUCAGCAAAAAAGCGAGACAGCCAAAAGGUUGGGUACACAGGACCUAUAAUACAGGCUUUUCCUCCUAUUUUCAGUACCCUGUAUGCUUCCUUGAUGCCGCGCAGUGGAUCCGGCCAGUACUCAAUGCUCCCAGCAGACACAUAUCUAUGCGCAUAGUCCGUAGGAAAAGGAAGAUCCUCUGCAUCUCCUUCAAUUAUCUUGCAUUCCUUCAAGGGCUCCUUCUGCUUAGCCUUUGCAAGCUGGUGAGGUGACUGGUCAAGAAUUGUGAUAUUCUUGGCAUCCACAUGCUUAACAAUACCCAAAGUAGUAAACCCAGUACCACCACCAACAUCUACCACUGUCAUACCCCUAUUGUUAAGAUCAGCUGGCUCAAGUGCCUCAUCUCUCAUAUCCUCAGUCCAAUGACCAGGGUUUAUGACAUGAUCAUACACAAUAGACAAGAAC